rnacentral:lncRNA from 1 species
UUUUUUUUUUUUUUUUUUUUUGGUCUGGUAUAUAAGUGUUGAUAAACUAGAAAUCCAUAAACUUCUAGGAUGUCAAGAACUUUACCUCACUUUUCAAUUUUACACCACUAUUUUAUUUGUUUUUCCUCUUGAACUAUAAGAAUGCCCUCACUUUUAUCCCAUGACAAAAGAUCAUUCCUAGGAGAAUAGAGAAUUCCACAACAUUUCAAUAGAAGACUUCAUCAGACUCAAAGACUAUAAUAGAAGACUUCCUACUUGAUAUAAUUAGCUCCUAGUUUAUAGCAUUUCGGUGUCCAACAAAUGCAACACUUUUCAACUAGUUAUGGAAUCAUGGCUGAAUAUUACAUUAGCAAUGCGUAAUAUUCCCUAAUUUUCUGAUCCACAGAACUCCAUUUUGGGGUGGGGAUUAGUAAGAAUGUUUAAUAUUGGCUAAUGUUUGAAACGUUAAAAGAAAAAGAAAAAAAACAGCUUUCCCUUCAUAAGAAGUUAGAAAAAGGCCGAACGUUAAAAAAAUUAUUUAAACGUAAAAAAAUAUAUUUGAAUGUGAAAAAAAAGGCCUACAAACAAAAUUAGAAAUGGUAAUUAUUCAUUGCAAGGAGGGAAGGACAAAUGCUUGUUAGUUAGUGAUAAUGCCACGGCACCUAUUUAGUUUUACAACAAAUUAUUUAUGAAAAGAUAAGUCCCUUUUUCAGAAGGAUCAAUCUUUACUAGUAAAGAGUAUAGUUGUCAUUUCAAAAGAAAUCAACGUCAUAUGUGUGUGUAUAUAUAUGUAUGUAAAUAUUGACGAUUACCUUUUCCUUUUUUAUAUUUCUACUACACUUUUGAAAUUAGUGAAGAUUUUUAAAAGUCUUUUUACUAAAACAAAAAUCCUAUAGUGUAUUUAUUUCUGUUUAGAAAAAACUAAAAUAAAAAUGAUUGUUUUCGUUAGGGGUGGCAAUUUUCGACACGAUCUGAAAACACGACACAAACCUAACACAAAAUUAAUGGGUUUGGGUUGAGGUUUCGGAAAUUCGGGUCAGAAUCGGGUUGGACCCGAUGAACCCGAAAAGAAAACAGGUUGAUUUCGGGUCAACCCGUGGUGACCUGAUAUGACCCGAUAUGACCCGUUUACGAAUUAAAAAUAAUUUAAUAAACAUAAAAAUAAUUUUAUCUAACUAAACUAAGUUAUUCUUUUUUUCAAAGGCAUUAAUUACUUAAUCCUAAAUGAAUUUAUUUAAUUUGUGUGAAGUUGAAAUUAUUAUAUUUGGACAAAUAAUAUAUUAUAUUAUUUUUUACUUUUAUAUUGUUUUAAUUUAUUUUAUAUUUUUUUUGGGAUAAAACACUUUUACGGUGUUUAAUUUAUUUUAGAUUUGGUUUGGAAUUAUUUGUUUAAAUUUUUAUUACUUGAUUAUGUAAUUAGUUUUGUGAGAAAUUGAUUUUAUUAGAAAUUACAGUGAUAAAUUAAUAAAUUAAAAUUAAGUUUCGAGUCAUUUCGGGUCGACCCGCCAACCCGUCAACCUGAAAUUUUCGGGUUCGGGUCAGCAUACCUGACCCGUAACGGGUUGGCGGGUCGGGUUCGGGUCAACAGAUUUUCUGACGGGUUGACCCGAACCCGACCCGCCAAUCUGAUUUGGACCCGAAUUGCCACCCCUAGUUUUCGUAUAUCCUUCUUGAUUUGGAUAGUCCAUUAUUUACAAAUAAAUUAUUUUUUUGUAUAGUAAAUACAGUCAUUUUUUAUCUUCCUAAUCAUUUUAUAUCCCACAUAUAUCACAUCAAAAAAAGUACUAUAGCAAUAAUUUAAGAAAAAGUUUUUCAAAUAAUCUUUUGUCCAAAAUACACACUUUCGGCUAUCUAAUCAAGAACGUGAAUACCAAGAAUGUUGAAUUCAUCAAAAUGCAGUAAUUACUCUAUGAUUGAAAAGAUUGAAGGAACACUGACCCUUUACACCUCAAAAUGCUUUAACAGUGUAUUUCUAAGACGAAAAAGUCGCUUUUAGUGCCUAUCUUAUUCCUAGCAACAUCACCAUCAUAAGGAUAUCAUUGCUAACCAGGCUAAUAUCCUUUCCCAUCAGUUACAUAUGAGUUAAACUGUGGUUUGAUAUGCCUUGUCUCAAAAUCCAUUUGGCAGUCUUUAUCAGAUUAAGUCACUCUCAAUAAGCUAGUGAAUAGUGACGAUGUUCCAUUAGAAACAAAAUAAAGCAAACUUUUUCUUAAUCAAGAUACAUAUAAAUACAUAUAUAGCAGCUGGAAUUUUGAAUGUGUUGAUCCUUUCUCCGUGAGAAACAAGCCCAAGAAAGUUUAGAAUCAUCUUUUCUUUUUCUUGUCAAGAAUUGCAUAACACAAGAUUUUAGUUUUGACUUGAGUAUCAAAGUUUUUAAGAUUUGUCAUCUAUCAGUGGCUUUCAGAUUUAUCUCUUUCUCUCUUUUAUUGGUUUUUUCUUAUUGAUUGGUGAGGAAUUACCUAAUAUAAGAUUGUAUUUAUUCAACUCUUCGGCUAAGAUUUUAAGUUCUGUUCACGCUCAGUGCUUCAUUAAAACUUAAUAAUUUUAUCUUUUUUGUGGAAAAAAUCACAUUGCAAAAAUGUUGGUAUUUAGAGGUGGGAUACAUUACUAUUCUUACUCAGAUGAAACAAGCAAGGACGGACCUAGGGGUGGGGAGUGGCCACAAGCCCUCAAGUUCUGAAAGCUUGAUUUUGCUCUCAUAAAAAAAAUUGAAAAUUUUUAAAGUUAUUCUAUAAAAAUUAAAUUUUUUCCCACCACAAAAACUUUGAACUAGUUUGUACAAUAUACUUGGGUUCAAAUUAUACGUUAAAAUUUGCCUCCUUAAUGUAAAUUUUCUAGUUCCAUCUUAUGCUUCUAGAGGCAAUAAUAUGAGUAAUCGCACUUAAGUGACAAAUUGUAUCUUGCUAACUUCACACAAUCACCCUGUCUAAGUAUUCAAAAAGCCUUUGUGGAGCUCUGACAAAGCUUCACUAACGUGAAAAGUUGCUCAGUCGCAAUUGAUUGGCAUCAUUAAUUAUGUUAAUGAUCUAUUAAUAUUAGAAUUAUUGUAUACUGUGGGCGCAGGUUCUCCCUAAUUUUUCUAUGAUGGAAAGGGCUGUCAAUAAUUAUUAGUAUAGAGACGUCCUAAUCAUCCUAAUCUGUAAUUGUGACGAUGUCACUAUUGUAGGCCAAUUUUGGCACAAAGAAGAUGAGAUUUUCAAUAUGAUUCUAGAAAGUUGUUCAUAACAAUUAUAAUCUGAUCACCAGCUAGUGAAAGUUUUUAAGUUCUUAAUAUACGCCCGGAUGUUGCUGUUGGAUGAGAUUGCUUAUUACAUUAAUUAAUCUUCAUCAUCUUGAAAAUUGAAAUAUAUAUGCUCACUGGUCACUAUUUAAUUUACUAGAGUCACAAAAUCCCAUAUUGUAUGUAGGCUAGUUACUAAUAUUUAUGUAGUGGUCCAGCAUCUAUGAGGAAUUUGAAAUUGUCCUUGAUAAAACAGUUAAGAGAUGCGGAUAGGUUUGUUUAUUCUUCUUCUUGGAAUCUUCAUUAAUUUUACAAUUUCAGAGGAAUCAAAGCUAGUAGUUUGCCAUGGAGAAAUGUUUAAAUUUCCUCGUUUCUCUCAAGGCUAAUAACCUAGGUUAUUAUUUGAUUAUUUGGCUUACUGAAGUAGCAUGGUCCCAAUUCAUCAUAGGUGAAUUGAUCUAUGCUCUUUGCCACAGCAGUUGACGCAAAGUGAAAUUGUAAUUAUCAUGUUAUUAAGAGAAUAAAGUCUUAAAAAUUUUAGGUUUUUGUCCUAAUAGUGUAACAAUUAUAUUAAUGAAUUUUGUCUUGCGCUUUAUGUUGAAGGAACUUUUAUCUUGGAAAUAUAACAAAGAAAACCAAUAAAGAAAAGAAAAAACAAAUAGGGUUUAAGAGAAUAAAGUCUUAAAAAUCUUAGGUUUUUGUCCUAAUAGUACAACAAUUAUAUUAAAGAAUUUUGUCUUGUGCUUUAUGUUUAAGGAACUUUUAUCUUGGAAAUAUAACAAAGAAAACCAAUAAAGAAAACAAAAAAAAAAGGGUUUGGAAACCACCAAUGGACAAGGCACGUACUUUAGCGUCCCUAAUUGGUGGGGGAGCAACGAAACAAAUAUCCACUAUAUCAAAUAUAAUUACAAAUCUUUUUGGGUUUUCUAUCUUUUCAAUUUUGCGUUAGGUAAGGAAAACAGGAGACAGCAAGGGGACCAAAAUGGUGACACUAAAGCUGUUCCGGCUGCCGAUAAAAAGAGCACCUGCGGAUAAAAAGAGUAGACAAAAACUGGGAUUAUUUUGAAUACCGGUUACAUAAUAGGACCAAUUCUUUCUGCUCCACUAAUCUUUUUUCUUUUUCAAAGUACUCCCCUUUUCUUUGUUGUGUUUAAUCAGUUGAGUUGAUGUUGAGCUUGCUUAUAUAGUCGAUGAGCUUAAUCUCUAAUCAUCUGUAGAAAUAUCCAAUCAAAGAUUUUUCAUGAAUCUUGAAGAACCAAAACUCUUGACUCAUGAUCAUAUCUCAAGCUUGUCUAUAUUUUAAUUAGUUUGCAGAUCUUCACUUUCUCGAGAAAAAAGAAAAAGAAAAAAGAAACACAAGGAAGUUUGGUAAAAACCAAGGGCUCUAAACUAAUGUUGAAGCUUCCACUCAUUCUCACAUGGUAAUAAACAUUAAUAAUAAUCUCAUGAAAAUUUUCUUUUCCACACCAAAACAAAUUGACCCCGUUUGACAAGUGAGUUUUUUGGGUGUUUGUCUAAAACUUAUUGUAAAUUACUGUAGAAGUUGUAGAAAAAAUUUUUGAAAUUGGUAAAUUUUUGGCUAUUUUGAAAUGUAUAGUUUACAAAUUUUAAGAAGUUUUUUGAAGUUAUUGUAGUUAAAGUUAUUAAAAAAAUUGUAGCAGACAAACUUGACCAAAAACUUACUUGCCAAAUAAGACUAAUAUUUUCUAUAUUUUACUUUAAACGUGCGCGCGCACACACAUAUGUAUAUAUAUAUAUAUAUAUAAGUAUAUAUAAGCCAUUUAUGUAAAAACUACAAUAAUCAUGCUAGAGUACUUGAUAAAGAUUUUGAUGUGGGGUUAAGUAAUGCUUCUUGAAAAGUAAGACUUUGAGAAUGCACCGGGAUUCAUGGAAGUGACCUAAAAUUUUUAGGUCAUGACCUAAAGCGAUGGAAUGAAAUCUUCCCAUCCGAGGUAAACACCAGUUUUCUUUUUUCAUACGAUAAAAAAGUUGCAAGUUAAAGAGAAGAUAAACAAUACUAGGUACUUGAAAAUAAUUUUUACUUAAAUAACAUUAAAGGCUUAUUACUUUAAACAACCUAAAAUUGACAAUCUAAAAUGUUUGCGUCCACAUGGAAGAAGGUAACCUAAAAUAUUUAGGUCAUGACGUCUAUGGUUCAAAUCAAAGUGAUGGAGAGGAAUCAUCUUCUCCUACGUAACCUUUUUUUUUUUUUUUUUUUUUGAAGCUUCUCCUACGUAAACAUAUCUCGUAUGAAAGUAACAUCCAAUGAUACACCGAUACUUUACUUAAUAAUGCAAACAAGCUAGCAAUUGUCAUCCAGACAAGAAAACUACCUUUAUGUCCCAAUAGAUGAAACCACAUUGUUAACAUUGUCUUCUUUUUAUAACCUAUGGUGGGCUUCGGUAAUGGACAAGAUAAUUGCAUUUAAGAUAAAGUGUUCCAAUUUUCUUCAUAAAUAAAUAUUGACACGUUUUCAGCACUUUCUUAGUUGAUGAGAAGACAUAUAGCAGUUGGAUUGUGUAGUUGCUUUUUCUUAGUGUAAGGUUCUUGGAAGAUUGCUAACCAAAAUGCAUGCACCUAGGAAGCUGGAAAUUUAGGUUAAAGAUUUUGUGCUUGAGUUUUUUUGGCACCCUUUAUAUUGUGCUCCAUAGCCACUCAUUAGAUUAGAAGUUUUAUGCAAUGGGAACAACUCUUUUACUGCUUUUAUUGAUUGCUAUUCAAUAUCAAAAUUGACUUAUAGUCCAAGGAACUUGUCUUCCGGUCAUUGUUUUUAUGCUAUGUAUACAUCCAAGAAUAAAUAUUCUAGAUACUCAUCUGAUGAACAUUAUUUGCUGAAAGACAAAGCCAACCGGACUACAUUCAUUGUGUGCUAAUAGGAAACUAAUAAGAAGGAGCAUGAUAGCAUGACCUACUGUGGUCCUGCAAGGGCUUGGUUCAGAUUCAAUGUCAUAUUUCAAAUAGUAAUGAAAAAAUUUAAAAAGAAGUUUGGACAAUCAAUUGAAGCUCUAUAAAAGCUGAAAUGGAAAAUUAAGUGCCUAAAAAUUGCAUGAGCUAAAACAAUUUAUCAGGGAUUGGCUCCUUUCUGGUUAGAUGCGGAGCUUUUCACAAAUUUUUUUGAAAUCAAUAUAGAAACAAUUUUGAAAAAAGGAACCUCUAAUGAUAAAAGGAAAUAUAUUCAUUUCUCUACCAUAAGAUCAAAAAUUAAUAGUUCACAUGUCAAGAAGGGUUUAAUCUAGUAGUUAAUAUGGACAGUCCAGAACGUAGAGGUUUUGGAUUUAAAUCCCUCAUCCUCCUUUCUUACUUCUUUAAUCCCAAUUGAUGUGAACAAAACAUGAAGCAUUCAUUGAUACAGAUAUAUACGGGUUUUAAUGCCAAUUUAUCAGUGGCAUGCACUAUCUGUAAUAUAUGUUUUUACUUUUGGUCCUUAUAGAAGAUAUGCAAUCCAAAUAUGACAUGAAAAUUGGAUACAUAACAUCAUGAAAUGUGGAGACACAAAAUCCAAAGAUUGACUUGAUUAAUUUAAUAAGAACAGACUUUCUUUCUAUUUAAUUAAGACAAACUAAGUACAACGCAUGGAUGUAGGUUUUAAGUUUUAGCGAAUGUAUAGAAAAGAACUAUAAAAAUUUUAAAAAGAGGAAAUUACCUGACUUAGUGUUUCCUGCACUAAGCUAGGAAAUUGCCUAGCUUCUAUUUGCAUCUAAGAUAUUUCUUUUGCAUGUGUAACCACUAGUUAGUAUCAGAUACAUUAUCGUUAGAGUUUAAAGCAUAUUUGGUCAAGCCUAAUUAGUGAGGAAGUUAGGCACACCAUAAAAUUAUUAGUUCCUAAAACUUCUCUUCAUCUCCUUUCUUUUUACUUCUUCCAUAUGCAAACUCAAAAUUCUUCAAUAGCAAUCUUACCUUCUCCAAAAUCAGCAUUAGAAGAAUUAUUAGAAGUAAAUGAAAACAAAAACUUUAGUUCUCAACCUUGUAGAAUUGAUUCAAUAGAGCAAUAAAGGUUUAAUUUUGAGUAAUACUUUUAAUAUCCAUAUUAGUUUGCAUCAGACAGAAUCUACCCCACAAGGGUUUCCAAAGUCUCACUUUGCCCCCCCUAAGAUUAUGACAUCAUUAAUUAUCUUAAAAUUUGUACCCUAAAAAGUUGUUCAGAUUAAAAAGUUGCCCAAACAUACUCGAGAAUAUCCUAUGUAGUAGGCAUUAUUGUUAUAGAUUUUACUUUUAUCUCAAAAAAAUUCAAAAAAUCAUGCUUACAAAUAUACACUUUUACCCUAAAAAAAUGUUUCGAUGAUAUGGUUUGCUAAAAACAAUUUUGCCAUACAUUCAUGUUUGCCUCUUGAUUUGGAAAUCUUGAUUGUAAUUGUAGUUUUAAAAACUAAACAUUUCUUUUCUAAGUUAAAUCAGAAUAGUCUCUCUAAUAAAUCUCAACGCAAUAAGAAUUGUUAUUAUUAAUUUUUUAUCAUUUAAUUGACCUUUUACUCUAAAACUCCGAGGAGGCAGAUGAGGGUAGGUUUUAAAGCCAAUAGGGGGAGAAGGGAUAACUUCUUCAAAGCACAGGGGAGCUAUUGACAAUUUACUGUAUAAAAAGGGCAAAGCAGCAAAUACUAGCCGCAUAUCGUUAAGUUCAUUUCCGUCCUCCUUUAACAUAUCGUGUCACCUUCUUUGACUAUUUGUACUAACAGCCAAUUCUUGACGCUUUUGUAAUCAGCCAAACUUUUCUAUCGGAUCUUUAAUGCUGAUGGAAGAAGUGGCUUCGCGUUGCUUAUGUCCAAGUCGAACUGUUUACUCUUUAAUUGCGGCACCAACGUGUAAAAACUAACAUUACAUCAUUUUUGUGACUUAAUAAUAUUCCUAUUAUUUGCCAUUGAAACCUCAGUCUAGCGGUUAAUAUUAAAACUUUAAAACUUAGACCCUAUUUGAUAAUCUAAUUUAGUACUUAAAUGUAAUGAUUUCAAAUUUUAAUAUAUUCAGAUGUAUUUGAUAACUAAAAAUAUGACAUCUUAAAUUAAUAACUAGAAUUUUACUCGUACCUUAGCACAGUUUUUUUUAUUUAUUGUGAAUUUAUACAAAUAUGAAUAAUUUAAAUAUAAAAAUUAACAACAAUUCUACAUGUUCAUUCAUAUUAAUUUUAAAAAAUUAACGUAUUUUAAAUUUUAAAUUAUUUACUAUUAUUUAAAAAUUUGUUUACAUACUUUGACUAUAAUAUGAUAGUAUACGUCAAAUAAUGUACCCCAUAUCUAAAACUUGUAGAUAUUCUUUUAGAUAAUUUAAAUUUUUAUAAUGACCAAAACCUAGAAUUAUAUAUUCAUACUUAAUUAAGUAGAAAAAGAACCAUUAACCCAUUUUUCUUCAUCAAUAAAUAUUCAAUUUCCAAUAAUAUUGGUAAAUCUAUCGGUGUAACACUAAGUUAAUUCAAAAUUAAGAAGAGAUGAUGAACAAUUUGAAUACUAAUCAAUGAUAUGGUGGUAAAAGGAAGUAAUUUAUGGGAUAUGUGAGAUUUCAAUAAUUGUAAUUUAAAAAGGUUUUAUUAUAUUUCUAUGUAAUAAUUUGGUAGAAAGCAGAUAUCAUUAAGAUAAGAUUAGUUAUUUUUUAAAGUUAUUUUAAAAUUAAAGAUAAUUUUUAAACAUAUAAUAUAAUCAUUGUAAUAAUUUGAUAGAAGUAGACAUCAUUAGAUUAGUUGUUUUUUAAAGUUAUUUUAAAAUUAAAGAUAAUUUUUAAACACAUAAUAUAAUCCAAAUGGGAUUUAGUAUAGGUAAAACCCAAAUGACCCAUAACCCGUUAAUUCUCUUCAAUUAGGCAUGUACAAAGGAGUGAGAAACACUGUGAUUAAAAUAACUACUUUCAUAUAUAUAUAUAUAUAUUUAAUAACUUAGUAGAUUCAGAUUUUAGAUUUCAAAUUUUAAAUUUAUCAAAUGCACCAUUAGAGGUCUUGGGUUUAAACACCCCUUCCCCUCCCCACUUCUUAAAUUUCAUCCUUCUCCUACCGGAAGGAAAAGAAAAAGAUAUUCCUACCAUUUAAAAUGGGUGUUACUAAUGAAUGUUCACUUACGAUAUAGUUCAAGUGUUAAAUUUUGAAUAAAUAAAAUUAAUUAAAAAACAUAUAAAGAGGACAAUAAUUUGUUAGUGUGUGCAUUUACAUAUAGGUUGGAUAUAAUAUAUGUGUACUAUCAGGUGCAUAAUGGAUAGCUGCUUAAAAAAUCCAUUUAAAAUAUUUGCUAAGUUUAUAUGUAGUAAUUUACCAAACAUUGUCUGCACUAGAUGUGAACAUGAAAUGACGUGGGUAAAUUGAGUUGAACUAAUGUACUUUAGAUGGCAAUUAAGAAAGAAUUGAUAAAAACAUGAGAAAUGGAUAUAAUGUUUAGAUGGCAAAGUUUUAAGAUCAAGAUUUUGACCGAAUAUGUAUUGUAGUUCAAUAUGGAAAAGACUAAAGAUGCCAAACACUGCAAUUGAAAAAUCAAGAACAUUACUUUCAAUAGGGUCUAAACAAGUCGAAUAUCGUUGUACUUUUAUUUUAUUUCUUAACAAAUAUACAUCUAUAUUCGAAAUUAGCCCUUGAUUUACUUUUUAUUGAUUCAAAUGCCUUUAAUAUCCUAUAUUAAUAUUAGUUUUAACAUCAACUGGUUAUUGACCCCAGCUCAAGUGAGCUUGAGUCAAAUGUUAGCUAGCUUAGCUUGUACAAGUUCAGUUCAACCCGAUAUUAACAUAGUACUAGAAAGUGCAAGACAAGUAUUAUUCCCCAAUAAAUAAUAAAGAACAAUAGAAAGUGAUAACUUCACCAUCAUAUCACAUGGUGAGUGAAUAGUAUUUAUACCGACUUGGAAUCGCAACCUCAUGUAACAACAAAUAAUUGAGAUACUCUUCGAUACUUUGAUUAGGCCUCCCAUUAGCCUUUGAGAAUUUUAGCUGUCAACAUAUAGUAGCCUAUAGGCUAUAGCUGGCUGUCACGUUAGUUUCUAAAUUAGAAUCCCAAAUACAAGAGGGUUAAUUUCAAAAUGCACUAUGGUAAGAUAUUAAACUCUUAAUUUUUCCUUUUAUUGUUUGAUUUGACACUUAAACUUUUGAACUUUUUCAAAUAUGAUACGAGCAACUAAGCAAAUUAAACCACCAAGUUGAAUCCAAUUUUGUCAUUUUAAAUUCACAGAAUUGACAUGUAUACCCUACACACACGAGAAUGAAAAAAAACACCCUACACAAAACAAAAAAAAAAAAACUCUAAUUACGAUUUGUGGAUAAAGAUUCCCUAAGUGUUCCUAAAACUAAAUGCCUUAAUGAAUUUUUUUUUUAUUAAAUUGACAAAUUAUUGACAUAAUUGAAGGCGUAUAUCUCCGUUCAUUGGACUGUAUCUGCACCUCAAAUGACAAGUUUAAGACUGCAUUACAUUAAAGGAAAAAGGAAAAAAAAAAAAAAGCUCAAAGGUAAAAACGUGUACUUUAAAAGGGGUUAUUUUGUAAUUAACGUAAUAAACCAACCCCAGACAGUAAACAUAUUUAAAAUGCUCACGUGUGGCCUCACGGUCGGUCCGUUGACGGCCACACAUGUUUGGUUGCCACCUCAGCCACACGUGUUCGGACUUUGACUUUUCAAAUUAUUUCCCCAACUCCGGUUUUGCAUACGAAUUUAUACCUAUAAUCCCAACUUUAGAUUCCCGAAAUUAGCCUUUUCCAAUUGACUGAUCUACCCCUCCUAGCCUCUGCACAAAUCCAAUUGGCCUGAAGAGACGCAUUUCCUUGGCCCAAAAUUAAUUUGUGCUCCUUUUUGCCUCUUUUUAGUUCAUCCCAAUAAAUUAUUAUAUUUAUUUAAUUAAAAUUCUACUUUCUGUAUACGCCAUCCAUUCCCUACAAAAAAAAAAAAAAAAUUCUAAUUAUACAUACGUGGGUAGAACUAGGGAGGGGCCCCCCGCCCCCCAACUUUUGAAAAAUUAAGUUCUCCUAUAAAAAGUUGGAAUCUCAAAAAAUUUGUAUUCGUAAAAAAUAAAAAUAUUUUUCAAGUUAUAUAUAUUUAAGUUUUAGUUGAAUUAGAAUUCGUCCAUUCGAACGAAAUUUUCUGGUUCUGCCUAUGUUUGUAUAUACGUGUGGUAACGUAUGCUACCACUUUUAAUAUAGAGAACAUUUAUUAGGCCUUGGCAGCAGAUGCAAAUUUGCUUUGCAGCAAUUAUGUGCAGUUUGUACUACAUGAAUACGGCUGCAUUCAUUUAUGAGAAUUUAUGUACACAAACAAGCAACACAUGUUAGAACAAAUUUGUAUAACUAUCAACCGAAUCCUACAGUAAAUCAAUAACCAGAUACAACCGCGCACACCAUUUGUAUCAUAUGGAUAUAUUAUUGUUCUCAUUUGUGAGAAUAUUUACAAAAAAAACAAACUAACAAGUACAAUCAUUAUUGUUUUGAGUAUUAACCAAACCUAUAACAAAUCAAUAACUCGACACAAUUACACACAAAGUUUGUAUUGUAUGGUAUUUGUCGGUUUCAUCCGUGAGAAUUCAUCAGAGCUAUGUACAACUGCACAAAAUACAAUCGUACUUGUCUAUCUCUUAUAUCCAAUUUAUUCACGGAGAUAAAUCUGCGACCGAGAAGGCACGAAUUAAAACAUUAAAGAAAGAAAUAAGUCCACUAUAAAAACUCUAAAAUUCGAACCAGUCGCCUUAACUGUCUAAUCAUUUUUAAAAGUUUAUAUUUUUUUUCUUAAGAAAAAGGUAACACCAACAAGUACCCUUUUUUAAAAAAAUAUAUAUAGGACAAUAAACGAGAAAGAGAGAGGAAGGAGAGAAGUGGGGGAGGAGGGAGCUAGCAAAGAAAGAAACUAUAAAAACGGUCUCCCGCUAUUACCUCCCCUCUGGACAACACAAACGAUACCUCAUCUUUCACUACUCAUCAUCAUAAACAUCUUUCUUUCUCUUCCCCCCAACCAUUUCUCUGAGCUCCUCCACUCUUCCCUCUACUUGCUCAAAUCUUCCAUGGACAACAACAAAAAUCCCCGCAGCUCUGUCAUAAUAGUCGGGGCAGGUAUCUCAGGUGCGUAAUUCUUGAUACAGAGACGCUCAACUGGACGUGCUUCUCUUGAUUUUCACCGUAAAAAUUCAUAGCCUCGUUAUUGUUUUAAACGUUUUGCAUGCAUCUGAACACGUAGGGAUAUCGGCGGCGAAGGUGUUAGCGGAAAAUGGCGUGGAUGACAUGUUGAUAUUGGAGGCGUCAGACCGGAUAGGCGGGAGGGUAAGGAAGGAGGAAUUCGGCGAGGUCACGGUUGAGCUCGGCGCCGGUUGGAUUGCCGGUGUGGGUGGCAAACAAUCUAACCCCGUUUGGGAACUCGCCAAACAAUCCAACCUCCGCACUUGCUUCUCCGAUUAUAGCUACGCCCGCUACAACAUCUAUGAUCGGAGGUAUGCAUUCUUGAUUGUUGUUUUUUGUUUCUUUUGGCAAACCUAAAAGUUUGUCAGUCUUAUUCCCUGAGCUUAAUUCGCUCGAUAAAUUAAAUUCAGGGAAUAAGAAAUUAAACGCAGAAAAUAAGAAAUUUUGUAUAGUUUCUUAUUUUCUGCUCGUAAAGUUUAGGUGGCGGUUGAGUGAGCUAGCAUUUUCUUCUCAUUGUUUUUCUUGAAUUCUAAUAAUUUCUGGGCUGUUUUUCUUUUUUUCCUCCUUUUUUUUUGUCAUGAAUUUUUUAACAUUGUUUUCUUAAUAUUUUUCCUUGUUUUUCUGUAUUUUUUUUGGGUUGUUUUGAUGUUGAUUGUGGUUUUAAUUGAUAAAAUUAGUGGGAAGAUUUUUCCAAGUGGAAUAGCGGCGGACUCAUAUAAAAAGGCGGUGGACUCCGCAAUCCAGCGGUUGAGUCAGGAGGCCAACCAUGACGCUUCCACUGCUCAUGAUGUGUCAGUUCUUGCUGAAACGCCGUCGUAUGACUUUCUCUCUCCUCUAACUUUUUUUUUCUUUUUGGAAAUUAAAAUUUUUACCCAAAAAUGUUUUUUUACCUUUCUCGUGAUUCAUUGCAUUAAUUGAUUCUCUUCAAUUGUAUAGGAGUAAUAAUUUUGAUUCAUUAUUUUUUUCUUGCAGCACUCCAAAGACUCCUAUUGAGCUGGCAAUUGACUUUAUUCUGCAUGAUUUUGAAAUGGCAGGUCGAUUAACUUUAUUUAUCUCGGUAAAAAAAUAAUUUUCGAGAAAGUUUUUUCCCAAUGGAAAAUAAUGAAGCUGAGCUAAUAAUUAUUUUUUUUUUACACAUUUUACAGAGGUUGAACCAAUAUCAACAUAUGUGGAUUUUGGAGAUAGAGAAUUCUUGGUUGCUGACCAAAGAGGGUAUGAGCAUUUGCUCUAUAAAAUGGCAGAAACCUUUCUUACUACCAAGGAGGAUAAGAUAUUGGACAGCCGUUUAAAACUCAAUAAGGUACUUAUUACUACUAAUUAUUAACUAAAACAUCAUUGUCAAAGUUUUUUUUUAAAUUUUUUUUUUUUACUUUUUCUAACUCUUGAUUUUCUGCAUUAUAAGACAAACAUUACGAACGACAAUUCGAAAAUCACAUAUUAGAUUUCUAUCUCUCAAUUUUUGCAAUGUCGAUUAUAAAUAAAGGUGGUGGCACACCAAAGUUCAUAAAAUUCUAGAACGUGUUACUUCUUUUUUUUUAAAAAAAAAAAAAAAAAACUGUCUUGUCUAAUGCAAUUAAGUUAAUCAUGUAUUUGGCUUUAGUUUGCCCAUAAAUUACCCAAUCAUGAGCUGGAAAAGCUUAACACGUUACAUGCUCUAAUUGGCUUAGUUAAAAGGUAGUGAAAAGGAAAAUAGGGGUUGGAAAGUGAUUAGUGCAUAAACCUAAAACUAAUAGAGUUUUUGUACUCUUGCACUGCUUUCGCUCAUAUAUAUUUUGUUUUCUUGCUGUUGAGAUCGAUCGACCUACUUUUUAAGUGUAUACAGAAAGCGACUUUGUUCUCAAAGCCCUUUUCUCUAUUCUUCAUUUACUGUUAGUUUAGAUAGGUACCUAUUUGGUUUUUAUGUCAUCCAGUUUGGUAGGUUGUGCACUUUCAUAUUUUAUUACAAUUCAGGAAUAAAUAUCACAAAUCUUGGUUCAAGAUUGGUGAAUGGGGUAUCUUAAAUUGUUUGAUUUAACUUUAUAAGGGAAAUGGAUAUUAAAAAGAAUUGCUUGUAAUGCUGUAGUUGGGCAUCUUUUUUAAACAAAUUGAUGCUCAAUAUCUUUUUCCUAGUUAAUUAAAGAAGUUUUUAGUUUUUGAUGUUUUGCUCGAGUAAAAGAAUUGGGAAGUGGGCUGUAGUAGUAUGUUGAAAGGGUCCAUGUUGCAAGCUUUUCAAUAUCAUUUCUAAGUAAUCUAAUUAACUUGGUUCUUUGUUACAAUCACAAUUUGACCUUUCAGGUAAUUAGCUCCUUACUUUUUUUCCUUUUCGGAGUUAGACAAGUUUUUGGGACGUACUAGAAGUACAUUGGUAAAAAAAAUGUCGCCUACUUCUUGAGUUCUAAAAGCAGGGAAAUCCAUAUUUUUAGAUUUUAGAAAUGGUAUCCUGUUUGCAUAUAUCAGGCUUCUAGACAUAGACGUCGCUCCCUUUUUAGCAAUUCAAUUUGUUUCUUUUGAUGUCCUACACUUUUCUUUCUCCCUGCAAGAUUCAAAAAUUGGAAUGUUCAAUCCAUUUUAUGAUCAUGGAGAUGAGAAACAAAGAAGAAAAACGGACACAAUAAUAACUUAUGGAAUAAGGUGAUGUGCACCAACGAGUUUGCAUUCCUUAGCCGUGAGGUUUCGGAUUCGAAACCCUUAGGAAUAGAAAGAAUAAUGUUAGGAGAGUUUAUUCUCAUAAGGGAUUCGAUCCGAUCCGAAUAGGAUUAGUUGUAGAUUAUAAAACAGAUGCAGAUGUCUGUUUGUGAUUUAAUUAAAAAAAAAAAAAGUGAUGUGUGACAUAGUCACUUGUUAUUAAGGUUUGUAAGAUUGGGUGAAUUUUAUUUUUCUUCUUUGGUAAUUUAAUAUUGAAGUAGAUUAUUUAAUUAUGUACUGUUUAGUGCUACACAAUUUUACCUACGUCAGUCCCCACAUCCACCAUCUUGGAAUAGUUGUAUAUUUCUAUGCAUAUGCGUUAUGGACGUCCUUUUACUCAUGAGAGAAAUUAAAUAUGCAAGUAGCCAGUCAAAUCAACACAAAACAAGGAGCAUGGAGAAAAUAAGAGUCUUGUCAGUUUCUUCAUUCAAUGUGCUGCCUUGACAUUUGCCUCAUCUUUCUUUCUUCCAUAAUUUUCACAUUUACCACUAGGAUACUGGUAUACACUAAAUUGCAUGUCACCUUGCUAGUCUAAAAAUAGCAACAGUGUGUAUUUCAUACUAGUGCAAAAAUCAGGUACUAAAACAUUGACUUGACUUGGAAAGGUUGCAAAGAGAAAUUUUUUUGACAACUUGAAGAGGAGAAAUUGGGAUGUAGACUCCAUUUCGGAUUUUGGCAAUUAAAGGGCAUUAGUGAUUGGAACUAUCUACAUCAUACAUCAGACACUUAACUUCAUUAAAAUGACAUUUUGAUUUUGCGCUUGUGGGUAGAAAAUUCAAUGAAUUUUGUGGAAUUUCUUGGCCAAUUCAAUGUAUCGAAUCUCAGGCAAAAACAAAAAGGUCAUAGCCUAUAGGUUUCACUGCACAUUUUUGAAAGCUAAGUCACAAAAAUAGGACUAACCGGCACAGAUUUUCUUGGUUUGACUUCUGAGUAUCCUAAUGGUGACAUUACCGGUAUUGGCAGCCUCGGCAAUUGCAUUCUUGAUAUCCUAACAGUAGCAUUGCUAGUACUCCUCCUCCGUCCCAUCCAUAAUUUGAGAAGCCAACUUUUUAAGGGAUCAUGUAAUUAUUAUAUUCUAAUAAGUUAGAUUUGGGUGAUUUUAUAAUAUUAUUGUCCUCAGAUUCAAAUUUUGAAAGUAAGAGAAAGGUGUUGGUUCGUGGAAAAAGUUAAAUUUUUUAAAUGAUAAAUAUUUUUAAAAAAUUAACUUUUAGAAAGUGAAAUCUUAUUUUAAUACAUUCAGAAAGUAAAUAUAUGACUGCGUUAACAAUGAAAUGGAACGGAGGGAGUAAUAUAUACUUGUAGACAAAUAAAUGCAUAAUUAUAGUAGUAAAGAAAAAAUUGACUAAUUUCUUGUUUUGUUGUCAACUUGUGCAUGGAAUUGAUGAUGAUUGGGGCAGGUUGUUCGGGAAUUACAGCACUCGAGAAACGGCGUUUCGGUGACAACGGAGGAUGGUUGCGUUUACGAAGCCAAUUACGUGAUUUUGUCCGUUAGCAUUGGUGUCCUCCAAAGCAACCUUAUUUCCUUCAGACCCCCCUUACCCGUACGUCUCAUCUUUCUUCAUUAAGAUCUUAAUCCGUCAGUUUCUAUUCAAUUAUUGGUCCCCUUAAGAAGUUAAAAAAUAUAUAUAUAUGUAUAUAUACCCUAGAAAUUUCUUCUUUUUUUUUUCUUGGAUUAAAAUAUACUUCUGCAUAAUAAAUGAUCAUGCAAUGAUUCUUGACACCUAGAAACUUGCCAAUGCAAGUAAAACAAAUUUUUGAUUGCAUAAAUCAAUUGCAGAGGACACUAUUGACCAAAAGGGACUUGUGAGAUCUUGACCAUUCAAUGGCGUUCACAUUAACUCCUGCAAAUGUGGUCAUGGCCAGUAGGAGUUAUGGGUCCAUUUUUAUAGGUUCUGGACAACCGAAGUUGCUCACCUGCACAGUAUUCACACGUAGAGAUUGACUAGGUUCUUUCUUUCUUUUGCUAUUUGCCUUGGACAAUCAUGUGUUGUGGGAUUCUGUCUGCAUAUAAUAAAUGUCUCUAGGUUGAAGAGGAGGUCAUUAUUGAUGGACAGUUUAGCUACCUUUAUUAAAUGUAGUUCCCCCUUGCUAUACUGAAAUAAAUCUGCAGGACUCUUUCUUCUAAGAUAUCAAAAGCUGUAUACUUGUCUCUUCUUCCAUCUAUCCAUCUAUUUAUGUGUCUGGCCCUUGUGCAAAACCAGGGGUUGCAUCUGCACAAUCCACAGUAUUGAGAUAGGCUGUGGUUCAAUAUUCUAGUAGUAGUUAGUGCUUAAUUGGUCUGUGGAAUAGGUCAUAGAUGUUCAGGGUUCAUAUGUAUAUAUAUAUAUAUUAAACAUGGCAGGCAACAUUAAAGAAAUUUGCUCUUUCUUUAAAGUAAGCCAACAAGAAAAAAGAAAAAAGCAACAUGAAUGAUGAGUAAUGGGGUAUGGGGAUUUUAGUUUCUUUUGCACUACUUUAAGGAGUAUUGGUUGAACACUUUUUCUACUCAAUUGUCAAUGUGGGCAUCAUCUCCAUAGGCACCACCACCCUCAAAUGCCUUCAAAUUUCAUAGAAAAAGCUGAAAGUGAAUGGCAGAGUUGAUGGGGCUGUAAAAUCAUGCUUGCUUGGAAGAGCUCAUGUAUUAAUAAUCUGUGAAAGUGACUAUAUGUGACUUAAUAUACUUGGAAAAAAAAAAUUAAGAGUUUAGGCUGAAAUAAUUGAUAUGAAAUAAUAAUUGUCCAAAUUGCAAUGUGCCUUGGACAAUUCCAUAAAAAUGUACCUACUUUCAUAAUUCAAAUACAGAUGCAAUUUGUUUUUGUGGUCCCUUAUAUGUGAAAAAUGUUAUGAGCUUUCUCAAUCAUGGAGUCCCUGAAUUGAAUACUGAUACAGUUUUUCAAAAUAAUGCAACAGAGAUGGAAAACAGAAGCCAUUAGCAAUUGUGAUGUUAUGGUGUAUACAAAGAUCUUUUUGAAGUUUCCCUAUAAGUUUUGGCCUUGUGGGCCUGAAAAGGAGUUUUUCAUUUAUGCCCACGAGCGCAGAGGCUACUAUACAUUCUGGCAGGUUGGUACAAUUACAUUUUUCUUUUUAGUAUAAUACAUACAGAAAAUGAUGUAUACAUAAUAUAGAAUGUAUACUAUGGUAUUAUUUUCUAACUUCUAGCAAAUGAAUCAAUUUUGAUUGCAUUGUAUGCAUAUAUGGACAAAGGCCAUUCCGUUCCAUUUUGGGUUUUUGCUGGAUUAUGUCAUGUUUUUAUUAUAAGCAAUGCUUUCAUGACGUCAAAGAAUAUGAUCCUUUUCUUUUCUUUUUUUUUGGUUGCCUAUAUAUAGGAAGUUUCUAUUUUCAAUGUGACUUGAGAGCCAUCUAUGUUAUUAUUAAAUAUUAUUUUUGGAGAGCUAACUGAAAAUUAUACUCUGUACAGACCUAACUAGUUCAACAAGAUGAAUCAUUUCCCUUCAACUAUUUUUUUGUUUUAACUUUUCACCAGGGGAGGGGCGGGAUUUUAAGAAGCGGGACGAACGGUUUGAACUCAGGACUAAAACAUUUUCUUCUUUUCCUUUGGAAGAAUAAGAUACAAACAAAUGGCUUCUUUUAAGUUUCAGUUUCUUUUGCAGCUUACAUCUUGCUUGUUUUGAAUAGCAGUUUGGCCAAUAAUUCAAAUGUUUUUUUUUUUUUUUGAUAAUAAUAAUUCAAAUGUUAAAAUAAGCUAAUCCAGCAAUGCCAGUUCUUAGAAGAAUUCUGCCCCUCACAACACCCUCCUAAUCUAGUGUUUUGUGUACGUGUUUUUUGGACAAUAGUGUGGAAGAUUGCUCUCACAUAAUUUCCAAAUAAAAUAAGAUUGUCCAGUUUGGCAGGCUUUGUUUUUAUAUGACAAGAUGGGACAAUUACGGGAACUAAUUGGGGACUAUUUUCAGCUAACUACAUCUGUCAUGUAUCUCUAGAGAUUGUGAUCAUAUUGAUUAAAUUUUUGCUUUUGUCUUUUCAUUGAUAUGAGAAAACAUCCAAUCCUGCACAGAUGGCUUUUUUUCCAUGCUAUAGAUUUUCUGUCACUAGGCAGUCAAUUUAAUCUGAGCAACUAUAUGACCAUUUUAACCUCUUAGAGUUUCCUGUCCUGCUACAUUGAAUAGGUCAUGCUACAUCAUCUUUGUUUUUUGCUUUUUUUUUUUUAUUUCGUUAUUUUUCCCUUGGCUUUUUUAGUAGUUGAUUUUUUUUAAAAUUUUAUUAAAAGGCUAAUUAGAGGAAGUUGAGGGUUUACUUGUAAUAUUCUUGCCAUUUCAUUCUUCACAUGAAGUGCAGAUUCAAUAUUCUGCUAUAGAUUCUCUAGUGUGCUGUCUUUUACCUUGUGAUAGUCUAGUCAAGAUCCUCGGAUAGUUAAUAUACAUAUCUGUCAUGUUCUGGGCUGUGUGCUAAUGACGUUUUUGUCCUCGUGCCAAUUACUUUUUUGCCCUUGAAAAACUGUCAGCAAUCUGUCACAACUCUUUAUAGAAACUAUACUUAGUUUGAUCAUACUCCCAAUACUUGCACAGAGCAGCAGCACAUAUAUUUUUGUUUCUGAUAUCUGGCUGUCUAGCUGCACCAGGAAAACAUAUACUUACAUCAGUUAUUGGAAUUAUAAAUUCGAGACUUCUCGAGUAACAUUGGAAUUAUAGCUAGUAUGGAGAUUGCACUAGUACUGCAGGGUUCUUUUGGGAUGAUUUGUGUGCUUAAGAUCAAUCAAUGUUUGGAGAUGCAAUGUGAUUCUGGAACACUUUCAGUAAUGUUAGUACUAAUCUGGUCAUAGCAGAUGCAGAGAUUACCCCAGUGCAGGCUUAUUCUGCAAUGAUUCAUUUACCUUAGAGCAGUUAAAUGUGGUUGCUGCAGGACUUUGUGUGUUAAUCAUGUAACUUGUAUUCUAAAACACCACUCACCAAACUGAACCAAGCUGGUUGUUGUUGAUCUGUUUUAAUUUGAUCAGCACAUGGAGAACGCAUACCCCGGGUCAAAUGUACUGGUGGUGACAUUAACAAAUGGGGAGUCAAAACGCGUUGAAGCUCAACCGGAUGAAGAAACCUUGAGAGAAGCCAUGGAAGUUCUGAGGAACAUGUUUGGACCAGAAAUACCAGAUGCUCUCGACAUUCUUGUACCACGUUGGUGGAACAAUCGGUUCCAGCGCGGCAGCUAUAGUAACUAUCCAAUCUAUGUUAAUCACCAACAUGUUGAUGACAUUAAGGUCUACAUUGUACCUAUUACAAUCUUGCAGGGCUGAUUAAAUUAAGUUUUGGUUGCCUUAGAUUUUCUAUCAAAUUAGUAAUGUUUUCUAGUUUUUUUGGCCUGCAGGCACCAGUUGGAAGGGUGUUUUUCACAGGAGAGCACACAAGUGAAAAGUUCAGCGGUUACGUGCACGGAGCUUACCUUUCAGGUAACUGAUGCAUAUAACUCAGUAUCCUCGGUUGGAUUAAUCUCAGCUCUAGAAGUUCAUAUCACCAUGAUUUUUGGGCAGGCAUAGACACAAGUAAAGCUCUAUUGGAAGAAAUGAGGAAGGACAAGGGAAGAAAGAAUGAAAAUCAAGCUUUUCUCCUGGAGCCCUUGCUUGCUCUGACAGAAUCUUUAGCGCAACCAGACGCAGUAUCAAAUCUCCACAAAUAUGAUAUACCUAGAAAACUCUUUCUUAGUAGUAGUAAGCUAGGCCUUCCGGAGGCCAUUGUGUGAUUUAAGUGGACAGUUGGAUACACACUUCUUGACAGAGAUAACAAUUCAUUAUUAGGAAGGACAUUCGCCUGACAGAUUUGAGGGAAGAAUAUAAUCCAAUUCAUGGAUGUUCUGCAACACGAAGAAAGGAUGAAGAGCAAGAAAUCAUGUAAAUGAUUAGUGAAUUUCAUCUCCUGAAUAGGUAACAAUGUAACUGGAGGCUCCGGGAGGAUCACUUUGAUUGGAAUCUGUUUGGUUAUGCAUUAGAUUAUUCAAUAUAGCAUGUAUUGGAGGGGUCACUGACGAGAUUUAAGUGUAACUAAGAUGAUGUUGAUUCAUGAAUGACAAUCUUUUUUAAUUCUAAACGGGCGUUCAAGCAUAUUUUUGCUCCUGUUAGAGAUAAGGCUAAUUUUAACUUUUUAGAGACUAGGCUGAAGUAGACAGACAAGUGCCAUGUAGAACUAAAUUUUAAAAGCCCCAGUGACCGAGGGUAAGUGCAAAAAAUACAAGGCACAAGGAAAGCUUUAAUUCACUGCAGUACAGACGAAAUAAGAUAGCAAAUCAGUAUGCAUAAUUUCCAGACAAAGUUUCCUGCAAGAUUUACACAUUAGGGAAGUUUAAUCAUUAUCGUUAGUAUAUAAAAAGUAUGAAUGUUGGUUUUAGGGAGUGCAAGUGUAAGCACUUUUUUAUCUUAAUUUUUGUUAUCCCUAAAUUACCUUCAUGUCUUUUAAUUAGAAUUAUUGCAUUUUAAUAUGGCACUAAUUAAAAGAAAUAAAACACUCCAAUUGAUUACAUUUUAAUAGUAUUGGUAACUAGAAUUUAAAAUUUCUCAUUAAAAACGAUUUACCUACUCUUGAACUCCAUUUCCAAUUAUUAUACGUUUCAAAAUUUAUUAAUUGAAGCAUGAAAAAUUUCUCAUGAGUCAUUAGUUGAGAUUGUAAAAAAAAAAAUCAAUUUCAAAAAAUAAAUAUUCUCUAGAAAAUGGAGAAACAUACAAGAACAAGAAAACCCUUAUUUAUCUGUAUAUCUUCAUACAAAUAUCGCGAGUAAAUUUUACAAUUAUGUGCUUUUUACCAAUAUCAAGAAUUUUCAUGAUAUACCCAAUGGAAAUUCAAUAUACAAAAAAUGAUGACACCUUUAUAACUGAAAUAGCAGUAUUAAAUUAGAAAAAGAAAUCUGAAAUAGUUCCAUACGAACCACUAUUAUCAUUAAUAGCAACUGAUCAAAACAAAAAACAAAUUGAAAAAAAAUUGUAAAAUAUUUAUAAAAUGACAUAAAAUAAAUAGAAAAUGAAUUAAAAAACUAGAAUACAAUUCAAAUAAUACCAAAGACAACGUCCAAAUCACUCAGAUCUAGGGGAAGACAAACAAUAUUGGUUUGAGCAAACCAAGUCCAUCCAUCAAGUCAGAAGUCAUCUCUAAUGAUAAAAUAAGAAUUAUAAUAAGGGUAAAUUUAAAAUGAAGAAUGAUAAAAUGAAAAUGAUAUCCAAAUUGUUUUUGGUGAUGUCCAAACUACCCUUAUUUUUCUAAUGAUUACAUAUAUUUAUUGUAUUGCAACAUUAGUGAAUAAUGGAAGCGGUUAUGAAAUGAAAUGCUUUAAAAUUAAGUAAAUUUUAUUUAUGGUGACAAUUGUAAUUAGACAUAUUUAGUGCAUUCCAAUAGUUGAUAAUAAUGAUAGCGGUUAUGGAUUAAAAGUUGGCAAUUAAAAAAUAAAACACCAAAAAAUUAAUACUAAAAUUAUUAAUUGGCCACAAUUCUCAUUCCAAUUCCAUGAUCAUCGAAAAAACUAAUACUAAAACCAAAAAUAUUGUGCUUAUAUGAAAAAAGUAGACUUGUUGCUUUUGUUUCGCAUUGGAUUGUGCUAAAAACAUGAAUAAAAGAAAAGCAAAAUAGAAAAAACUUCAACUAUCUCUAUCUAUAAAAUUUCAAUUGUUAGAAUGUACAAACCAAAAAAAACUUUACGUGGUUGAUCAUUUAGACUCCAUUAUUAACAAUAAUAGAAUUAACAUAAUACAAAGAAUUCAAAUUACAUGUAUGUUUAAUUUUCUAACUUAAUUAUAUUAUUCAUUUAUAAAAAAUUGUGAUGAUUGUGGUUUAUAUGCAAUAGAAUCAUGAAUAUACAAUAAUUUUGAUAGAACAUGAUAUUAUCAAUAUUUGAUAUGUUAGAAUUCAAGCUAUAAAUCAAAAAGUGUUUGGUUCAUGAUUUCAAAUUCAAUGCUAAGGGAUAUGUCAACUACAUUGGAAUGUUUUCUAUCUCUUUUCAUUUAAUAAAAUUUUUAAAAGUAACUAGCUUAAAAAUAAUAAAUAAUAUAAAAUACUAUUAUUAUGAUGUUGGUGAUCAAAAUUUCAUAAAAAAUUUUUAGUAUCUAAAGAAUAAAUAUAUUUUAAGAUAUUACAAUCACGUGCAAAGCACGUGAACUAUUACUAGUAUUGACAAAGGAUUAAAAUUGACACACUCAAAUGUAAGAAAAAAAUUGGCCAUGUUAUCUCUGUUCAGUAGUUGACAAUUCAAGAUACUCGAUAGUUCUACCAGUAUAUCGAAGAAAAGAAAUUCAGAACUCAAAACUAUUUCCUGGAUGUAUUCUUUGGUGAGCACAAUACACAAUCCUGCACCGUGCAGAUUUGGUAGCUGUGUAAAAUGAAGAUUUGAAACCAAGGUAUCCUGUUCAUCCCUUGGGAACUGCAUGU